UCGAUCCUCAGGAUCUUGUUACCUGUGAUGGGACUUUAUCGGCUGACGAUUUCUUCGCCACCUGUUUGGCAGCGACAGUACGCGCCUUCUUCGAGGGUGGCACCACUAACUUUCUGAGCUCCUUCGUUGCACGCUUGGUUGUCCCAAAAGAUGACCCCACCUUGUCAGAAUUACAGGUCUUGACAACAAAUUUUUCAACAGACUCUAAAUCAGAGCUGAUGAAGGAGGACCAGUCUGGUGACUUCUCCCUUUCUCCUUCCUCCUCCUCCUCC
rnacentral:lncRNA from 1 species